rnacentral:lncRNA from 1 species
GCCCGGCCGCGGUGGUGGGCGGGAGGAUGGUGGGCGGGCUCCGAGCCCAGCUCCACUGGCCCCGGCCGCGGGGCUCGCCCCUCCGUCCCCAAACGACCGUCUCCGCUGCCAUGAGAUGCCGACAGCCUGUGCGCUGGCCGCCACCCCCUGCUCCAUCAGGUGCUGGAAUCUGAGUAAAAGCCUGGGCGCGAGCUCCCAGCCCCGGGGCCUGCCACCGGCUCCACGAAGCGGGCAGCUCCAGCGGCCGCCGGGAGAAGGAAGGGCGACCGGGGGAGACGGGUCGCAGGGACAGCACGUGGCGGAAAGUUAGCCCCGGACUAGCACGCCCCACCCGGAGAAGCCGGCCUGGAAGGGGCUGCGGACCACCAGGCGGAGCGGUGGGCGACCGAAGUGCGGCUGGGCUGGCCUCCUCGUCUCCGCACUGGAAGAAUUGCCCUUCCGCAAGUCUUCCCUUCCCACAUGGGGGCCCUCCAGGCCGCACCUCGGUCGCCCACCGCUUCCCUUGAGAAGGGAGACUAAAGACAGGCAUCUGGAAGCUGUCACUGUGGCGCGCGGGCAGACAGGGGAUCCCAUUGGAGAGGAAGAGCCGUAGUAGUCGCUGCUGCCUUCGGCCGACCCAACGGCCGCCUGCUUGGGAGGAAGAAAAAGAACGCCCCCGCUGAAGAAUUAAGGCAGCCAUUGGUUGCUCUAGGGGGUUACAAGAUGGGCAGUACAAUAGAGGAUGGACUGGAGUUGGAAAAGACUAAAGCAGCAAGUUUGAUAAGGAGGCUACAGCAAUAGUCCAGGUGAAAGACGCAAGAGCCCAAAAUGCAGCAGUGGCCAAGGGAAUGGAUCUGAGAUAAAGUUCAGAAGAUAGAGUUGGCAGGGCAGGUGAGGAGAAGAGAAGAAGGCCACAUGAAGAUGGAGCAAGAGAUUGGAGUGAUGUGGCCACAAGCCAAGGAAGCUGAGGAAUGAAGACAGCUAUCAGAAGCUGGAAGAGGAAAAGAAUUCUCUCUUGGGGUCUGCAGAGGGAGAACAGCCCUGCCAACACUUCCAUUUCCAAUGUCUGGACUCUAGAACUGUGAGAAAAUAAAUUCCCAUUAUUUUAAGGAACACAGUUUGUGAUACUGCAUUACAGCAGCUCCAUGAAACAAAUACAUUUUGUUAUUCCAAGUCCUCUUCACAACAAAGUCUUUGCUAGUGGUGAACCAAACACAGUCCCACCAUCAUGAGCCACUGUUCUGGAUGAGGGGGCAACACAGUUCAGACACUGGUCAUCUCUAUUUAAUGUCUAAUGGGCAUCUCAAACCUAACUUUCUCCCAGUGGAAAUGCCUGGAGGUACGUGGAGAUGGAAAGCUGACCUAGCCAAGGAGUUCAGCAAAGAUCCCUGGGAGGAGGUGACAUCUGGACAUCUGCACAGAAUAAUGAGGCUGGGCUAAGGCAGUGACUGAGGGAGGCACUCUUUUUUGGUUUUUCUUUUCUUUUCUUUUGUGUAGGAAGGAAAGAAUAGCCAGGAGAGAUAGAGGAGAAAGAGGAUAAAGAUAGACAGGAAAGAGGUAACACAAGAAGUCAGGACCUGCGCUUGAGGGGCAGAAGUCAAGUCGGGCUAAGGUGAGAAGGCAGAACAGGGUUCAGGGUCUUUGAAGAGAAACAAGUACAGAGCUGGAACUAAGUGAUGCUGACUCCAGACUAAAACCCUCUGGGUUUGAAUCCUGCCUCUGCCACUUACUUAUUCAUUACAAAAUAGCGAGAAAUUACAUUAUCUGGAUCUUGGUCUCUUCAACUAUAAAACAAAAAUAAUAAUAGCUCCUAUCUCAUAGGAUGCUAUUAGGAGUACUAAGUAUAUUAACACCUGUAAAGCACUUGGCUCAAUGUCUGGCACUGCAUAUGCAAUAAAUGUCAUUAUUACUAUUAACAUUAUUAGAAGAAGCAGCAAAUUUAAAAUCAGAAUGUGAGCACUGGAAAGGACUUCAGAAUCAACUAAUCUAAUUCCCCCAUUGUACAAAUGAACAGACUGAGGCCCAGAGAGGUUUGAAAUUGGCCAAAUUUAAGGAGAUAGGAACAGAGCCGAGAUGACAAAAUUGCUUGAAAGUCUGUGCUUUUUCUAGGUGAACUAUACAUAUAUAUUUGGGAAUCAUAAGAAUAUAAGCAGUGAUUGAAUCUGAGGAAAUAGAGUUACUCAGGAAGAACACAAGAAUUAGUACAGAAUGCUGAAAGAAGAAUGAAAAUAGAUUUGAAGUCAACUUGAUUCAAAUAUCCCAAUGUAAUGGUAUUAGGAAGUGGUGCCUUUUUGAGGUAAUUGGGUCAUGAGGGUGGAGUCCUCAUGAGUGGGAUUAGGGCCCUUAUAAGGGGCUGAAGAGACCAGAGUUUUCCCUUCCACCAACUGAAGACUCAUAUAGAAGGUACUAUUUAUGAACCAGAGGGUAGGUCCUCAGCAGACACCAAAUCUGCUGCAACCUUGAUCUUGGACUUCCCAGUCUCCAGAAAUGUGAGAAACAAAUUUCUAUUGUUUAAAAGCCACCCAGUUUAUAGUAUUUUGUUAUAGCAGCCUGAAUGGGCUAAGACACCAUUAAACUUUGAAACUUGGUUUUUCCACAUGUAAAAUCAGGAUACACGUAGAAAACCUGCUGAUGCCUUUAAAAAAUUUUAAACCCAUAUGUUCUAAAGUUGGUAACAGAGGAAGACUUUCCACAAGAUGGAGGAAAGUCUUUUACUCCAGAUCUUAAAAUUAACCUUACUCUUGGGGUAUAAGGUUACUCACACUAAUGUCUGCUGGAGCCACAAUCAGCAAACUGGCUUUAGGGGUACAAAGCAUGGAUUUUACAGUUUCUCUCAUUGCCAUAGUAUGGUUGAGACAGCUUAUAAUAUUUAUGCAAGAUACUACUAAAGAUGGACCCCUCAUGUUGGAGCUGGACAUAGGACUUUUUUCUUCUCUUUCUAGAUUUCUUCCAUAGAUACAUUCAUCUAAUCCCAUAGCUUUAAAAUACCACCUCAAAGCCAAAGACUCAAAUUUAUACCUCUAGCUCUGACCUACUCCUGAGCUCCAGACUUAUAUGUCCAAUUGCUUGCUCUAGAUUAUUACUUAGAUAUCUAAUGGUCAUUCAAAUAUAACAUUUCCAAAAUGGGAUGCUUGACUUCCUGCUCCCAAACCAGUUCUUCCUGCAAUAUUCUCAAUCUUGGUAAACUUAUAUCCAAUUGAUAUAGUUUGGAUAUCUGUACCCACCCAAAUCUCAGGUUGAAUUGUAAUCCCCAGUGCUGGAG